rnacentral:lncRNA from 1 species
AUAAGUAACAACUAACAACCAAUUAGCUACUGCCAGCAGAAACCACGUACCAGCUGACGUCGAUCGGAUGAUGAUUUUUAGAAUGCAGGUAUUUAUAUCCAUAAAACAAAAUCCCCCAUCAAUCCAGAAUUUGCAAUCGUUCUUUCUCCGAUCAUGGUAAUUUUUUUUUUAAACUUAGUUUUAGCUUUAAUUUUGGGUUAAUGGAAUUUGACAUUUUGUAAUUAUACUUAGGCAAGUGGAACUGGUGAGGUUUCAAAGAAGCUGAAGCUCUAUUCCUAUUGGCGGAGCUCUUGUGCUUGCCGCGUUCGAAUCGCUCUCAAAUUAAAAGGUCUCGAUUUUUUUUUCAUUAAUUUGAAUUCUCGAUUUGUUUUUGCUUAAUCUACUAAAUUAUUUUUAUUAAUUUUUUUUGAUGAUUAAUGAAAUAAAUACAACCCGAAAUUGAAUAAACAGGGCUAGAUUAUGAGUAUAUCGCAAUUAACUUGCUCAAAGGGGACCAGAAAUCUCCAGGUUUGACGCUUUCCCCUCUCU